rnacentral:rRNA from 1 species
AGAGUUUGAUCCUGGCUCAGGAUGAACGCUAGCGGCAGGCCUAACACAUGCAAGUCGAGGGGCAUCGGGAUUGAAGCUUGCUUCAAUUGCCGGCGACCGGCGCACGGGUGCGUAACGCGUAUGUAACCUACCUAUAACAGGGGCAUAACACUGAGAAAUUGGUACUAAUUCCCCAUAAUAUUCGGAGAGGCAUCUUUCCGGGUUGAAAACUCCGGUGGUUAUAGAUGGACAUGCGUUGUAUUAGCUGGUUGGUGAGGUAACGGCUCACCAAGGCAACGAUACAUAGGGGGACUGAGAGGUUAACCCCCCACACUGGUACUGAGACACGGACCAGACUCCUACGGGAGGCAGCAGUGAGGAAUAUUGGUCAAUGGACGCAAGUCUGAACCAGCCAUGCCGCGUGCAGGAAGACGGCUCUAUGAGUUGUAAACUGCUUUUGUACGAGGGUAAACUCACCUACGUGUAGGUGACUGAAAGUAUCGUACGAAUAAGGAUCGGCUAACUCCGUGCCAGCAGCCGCGGUAAUACGGAGGAUUCAAGCGUUAUCCGGAUUUAUUGGGUUUAAAGGGUGCGUAGGCGGUUUGAUAAGUUAGAGGUGAAAUUUCGGGGCUCAACCCUGAACGUGCCUCUAAUACUGUUGAGCUAGAGAGUAGUUGCGGUAGGCGGAAUGUAUGGUGUAGCGGUGAAAUGCUUAGAGAUCAUACAGAACACCGAUUGCGAAGGCAGCUUACCAAACUAUAUCUGACGUUGAGGCACGAAAGCGUGGGGAGCAAACAGGAUUAGAUACCCUGGUAGUCCACGCAGUAAACGAUGAUAACUCGUUGUCGGCGAUACACAGUCGGUGACUAAGCGAAAGCGAUAAGUUAUCCACCUGGGGAGUACGUUCGCAAGAAUGAAACUCAAAGGAAUUGACGGGGGCCCGCACAAGCGGAGGAACAUGUG